GCCCAGAUGGUGAAAUUGGUAGACACGCCAGCUUCAGGUGCUGGUGGCCGCAAGGCCGUGGAAGUUCGAGUCUUCUUCUUCAGGUGCUGGUGGCCGCAAGGCCGUGGAAGUUCGAGUCUUCUUCUGGGCACCA
rnacentral:tRNA from 1 species